UACGGAGGGUGCAAGCGUUAUCCGGAUUCACUGGGUUUAAAGGGUGCGUAGGUGGGCCCGUAAGUCAGUGGUGAAAUCUCCGAGCUUAACUCGGAAACUGCCAUUGAUACUAUAGGUCUUGAAUUAUCUGGAGGUUAGCGGAAUAUGUCAUGUAGCGGUGAAAUGCUUAGAUAUGACAUAGAACACCGAUUGCGAAGGCAGCUGGCUACAGGUAUAUUGACACUGAGGCACGAAAGCGCGGGGAGCAAACAGG
rnacentral:rRNA from 1 species